rnacentral:sRNA from 1 species
UGACUGUGCUUUCAUGGUCGACAAUGAA